UAGAUUGAAGCCCGCUGGAUUGGGUUUUUAUUUGUUAACUAAAGGUUUAUGGGAUCGAGGCCCGUCAAUCUAG
rnacentral:tRNA from 1 species